rnacentral:tRNA from 21 species
GACUCGUUAGCUCAGUCGGCAGAGCAACUGCCUUUUAAGCAGUGGGUCCGGGGUUCGAAUCCCCGACGGGUCACCA